ensembl:lncRNA
CUCUCUGCAGCCUGCUGUACAUGAGCACCGGCAGAAGAACCCAGCACAUGAAGAAGAUUUGACUCUCUGCAAGGAUUGAAGUCUUUGAGCUCAGGGUUGAGACUCCUAGCUUGAACCAUGGGGAACCUCCCUACGAUACAUAAUGAAACCCCCUACACAUUUCACUACUGUAUUAUUGGGAGAGAGGGUGUGCAUACAGUGCAUGGCAACAGCACAGGAGAGUCCCUGCAAGCACCAUUUUGGAUUGCAUUACCAUUUCGGGGUGCAUUACUACCAUUUUGGGGGCUCUCCUUUAGAUAUGGAGAUCACUCAGAAAGUGACCUCACUGGUGCAGGUGAUGGCGCUUCGUACACCAUAAGAGAGAGUAAAGAUCACAAGGAAUUUGAACUGGUCUCCAAGAUGUGGCAUAGAGUUGUUGUUGUUGACCGUUGUCCCAACUUUGGCAGAAUUGAUGAAGAGAAACGGCAACAAGAGGAGCGACGCAGGAAAGAAGAAGACGAGAAAAGGCGUCAGGCAGAGCUUGAGCAACAGAGGAAGAUCCAAGAGCAGAUGGAAAAGGAGAACGAAACAUUGAGAAAAAAGCACAAUGAAGCACACAACAGGCUUCAGGAGGAGGAAGACCUCAAAACCUGGAAGCACCGUCAGCAGCACUCUCAAGUUCUACACCAGCUCUUGGAAGAUAAAGCACAUCACAUAGAGAGAGAUGAGGAGGAGGGGGUUCUUCUCAAAGAUAACUAAAUGGAUUCGUGGUGAACAGAGCCCGUGCAGUGGUCAUUUUGAAAUCCUGAGACCAGAUGGAACCGUGAUCCCAGUAAAUUCAGAAGAUCAGAACUGCCUCUUCCACGCUGUUGCUCAGGCCACCUGUAAAAAUCCAGGUGAUGUAGGAAAAGAGGCACGGGUGCUUCGGGAGCAGGUCAGAAACAAUCUUCAGCAAAACCUACCCAAAUACGUAGGAGCUCUGAAACUGCAGAAAGGCUAUGAAACCUGUAACUCUCCUGGAAGAUAUUACAUAUGUGGAGGAGAUCGAAAGGCACGAAGAAAAGCCGUAGACGAUUUCAACGCCAUCUUGGGCGACACGAGCAAGAAAGGUUUGAGUCCAGAGGAAUUACGAGAUAUCCAAGAAUGACGUCUGGGUUUGGUUGGAACGCACACUGAUGUGUACAAAAUCCGUGUGGAAACCUCAAACCAAAGAGAAUGUGGUGAAAACAGGCUGGCGGUGGAAGCAGACCAUGUGCCACCUAAAUGUGUCUUUCAGAAUGCCCUUAAAACGUUGCAGGACCCUGAGAACGUAAAGUUAAGAGAGAACCUGAAAAACAAAAGUCCCCACCUUCAUGCACUGUUGGAUAAAAAUGGAGACCGCGGUCUGUGCAGAGAGGUUCUGAAAUCGCACCAUGAGGCAGGCCUGACCUGGUGCAACAGAAAAGAGUCUCGUAUAAUCAGCGAGAAGCUUGAGGAGAUUCUUAUUUCUGGAGACGGGGAAAAACUGGUGAAGAUGUCACUGCUGGCAGCCAAUCCGGUUACAUCCAAUUCUCUUAGAGAGGAUGCAGGAAUCCUCAUGCUGAACAGCUCAAAUAUGUCCAGAGACGCAACGAAGCGCUACCACGAUGUUGGAGACAAGCUGCUGGUGGAAGGUUACUACAAGAAAGGAGUCCUGAACGAGGAGGAGAGGCACAGCAUCAUGGACUGGCUGAAGGGUGGAAACCUGUACUCAAAGAACACGUCAGAGUACAAAGAGAUGUGCAGUGAGCUGAGAGCCAAGAUACAGAAACACAACAACAACAGUGGAAAAUAACAACAGUGUGUGUGUGUUUAACUGAACGUAUCAGACAUCCAAACUGAGAAAGCUCAGUUUUAUUUGAUGUUUUUAUCAUUUAUAUAUUUCGUUAUCCUCUCUGACCGUUUCAUCAUCAUCCUCUUUUCCUCUUUUCCCAGAAAACAAAGAAGGAAAAGAGUUUCUCUGAAAGAUUUUAAUCCGAGGAUAAAAAGCAGCUCAAAGACAGUGAUUUGUAAUCACAGGAGCUGUUGUGUGUUCUCUGUGUAACACCUGUCACAGGUACCUGUGAGUGGGCCCUGGGCCUCUGCUUAUAGCACAACAUAUGAAUCAUGAUAUGACUUGUGUAAUUAAACCACAACACAAGAGGUUCAUUUAAACGCAGCAGGCUCACCUCAUUGAUUCCAGAUCAGAAAACAAAGUGUGUGUGUGUGUGUGUGUGUGUGUGUGUGUGUGUGUGUGUGUGUGUGUGUGUGUGUGAGAGGUUACACUGGUGUUUGGGGUCAGAGGUCACACUGGUGAUCACCUUGCUAAGUUAACCUGGUUUUUUGCUCCCACCAUAAAAAAAUGAAGGAAUAAAGUUGUGUGUAAAA